UCUGGUUGAUCCUGCCUGAACUGAUGUGUUUAUUUCAAAGAUUAAGCCAUGCAUGUAUAAGUUUAAUCGUUUAUCGAGAAACCGCGAACGGCUCAUUACAAUGGCCAUUAUUUACUUGAUCUUGAUUGUCUAAAUGGAUAACUGUGGAAAAGCUAGAGCUAAUACAUGCUCUAGCUUUGUCCUUACGGAAAAGCGCAUUUAUUAGAACAAAACCACGCGGCUUCGGCUGCUUCUUGUUGACUCAGAAUAACUUAGCUGACCGCAUGGCCUUGUGCCGGCGGCGUGUCUUUCAAGCGUCCACUUUAUCAACUUGACGGGAGCAUAAUCGACUCCCGUGGUGGUGACGGAUAACGGAGGAUCAGGGUUCGACUCCGGAGAAGGGGCCUGAGAAAUGGCCACUACGUCUAAGGAUGGCAGCAGGCGCGCAAAUUACCCACUCUCGGCUCCAGGAGGUAGUGACGAGAAAUAACGAGACUGUUCUCUUUGAGGCCGGUCAUCGGAAUGGGUACAAUUUAAACCCUUUAACGAGUAUCAAGCAGAGGGCAAGUCUGGUGCCAGCAGCCGCGGUAAUUCCAGCUCUGCAAAUACAUAGAAUUAAUGCUGCGGUUAGAAAGCUCAUAGUUGGAUUCGUAUCGAUACCUUGGAACCCUUCGGGUGUCUCUAGGUGUUAUCGAUUUAUCGUAAUGUUCGGUUUUGAGUCCUUAACAGGAUUCUUAACAGGCAUUGCAAGUUUACUUUGAACAAAUCAGAGUGCUUCAAACAGGCGUUUUCGCUUGAAUGAUCGUGCAUGGAAUAAUAGAAAAUGAUUUCGGUUCAGUUUUAUUGGUUUUACGGACUGAGAUAAUGGUUAACAGAGACAAACGGGGGCAUUUGUAUGGUCCCGUGAGAGGUGAAAUUCUUGGACCGUGGCCAGACAAACUACAGCGAAAGCAUUUGCCAAGAAUGUUUUUAUUAAUCAAGAACGAAAGUCAGAGGUUCGAAGGCGAUCAGAUACCGCCCUAGUUCUGACUGUAAACGAUGCCAACUAGCGAUCCGCCGAUGGAAAUUAUAUUGCCUUGGUGGGGAGCUUCCCGGAAACGAAAGUCUUCCGGUUCCGGGGAAGUAUGGUUGCAAAGCUGAAACUUAAAGGAAUUGACGGAAGGGCACCACCAGGAGUGGAGCCUGCGGCUUAAUUUGACUCAACACGGGGAAACUCACCCGGCCCGGACACUGUGAGGAUUGACAGAUUGAUAGCUUUUUCAUGAUUCAGUGGAUGGUGGUGCAUGGCCGUUCUUAGUUCGUGGAGUGAUUUGUCUGGUUUAUUCCGAUAACGAGCGAGACUCUAACCUACUAAAUAGUUGGUACAUACUCUUAGUGUAUACAGCUUCUUAGAGGGAUUUGCGGCGUUCAGCCGAAAGAAAUUGAGCAAUAACAGGUCUGUGAUGCCCUUAGAUGUCCGGGGCUGCACGCGCGCUACACUGGCAAAAUCAACGUGCUUGUCCUACCCUGAAAGGGGCGGGUAAACCAUUGAAAAUUUGCCGUGAUUGGGAUCGGAAAUUGCAAUUAUUUUCCGUGAACGAGGAAUUCCAAGUAAGUGCGAGUCAUCAGCUCGCGUUGAUUACGUCCCUGCCCUUUGUACACACCGCCCGUCGCUGCCCGGGACUGAGCCAUUUCGAGAAAUUUGGGGACCGUUGAUUUAAUUUUUCUAAAUUACUUUGAUGGAAACCAAUUUAAUCGCAGUGGCUUGAACCGGGCAAAAGUCGUAACAAGGUAGCUGUAGGUGAACCUGCUGCUG
rnacentral:rRNA from 1 species